rnacentral:rRNA from 1 species
GAUGAACGCUGGCGGCGUGCCUAAUACAUGCAAGUCGAGCGAACAGACGAGGAGCUUGCUCCUCUGACGUUAGCGGCGGACGGGUGAGUAACACGUGGAUAACCUACCUAUAAGACUGGGAUAACUUCGGGAAACCGGAGCUAAUACCGGAUAAUAUAUUGAACCGCAUGGUUCAAUAGUGAAAGACGGUUUUGCUGUCACUUAUAGAUGGAUCCGCGCCGCAUUAGCUAGUUGGUAAGGUAACGGCUUACCAAGGCAACGAUGCGUAGCCGACCUGAGAGAGUGAUCGGCCACACUGGAACUGAGACACGGUCCAGACUCCUACGGGAGGCAGCAGUAGGAAAUCUUCCGCAAUGGGCGAAAGCUUGACGGAGCAACGCCGCGUGAGUGAUGAAGGUCUUCGGAUCGUAAAGCUCUGUUAUUAGGGAAGAACAAAUGUGUAAGUAACUAUGCACGUCUUGACGGUACCUAAUCAGAAAGCCACGGCUAACUACGUG